GUUGAUAAGGUUAAGUGAAUAAGGGCGCACGGUGGAUGCCUUGGCACUAGGAGCCGAUGAAGGACGGGACUAACACCGAUAUGCUUUGGGGAGCUGUAAGUAAGCUAUGAUCCAGAGAUUUCCGAAUGGGGGAACCCAAUAUCUUUUAUAGGAUAUUACUUUUCAGUGAAUACAUAGCUGAUUAGAGGUAGACGCAGAGAACUGAAACAUCUUAGUACCUGCAGGAAGAGAAAGAAAAUUCGAUUCCCUGAGUAGCGGCGAGCGAAACGGGAAGAGCCCAAACCAACAAGCUUGCUUGUUGGGGUUGUAGGACUCCGAUAUGGUAGUCUGUUAGUAUAGUUGAAGGAUUUGGAAAAUUCCGCUAAAGAGGGUGAAAGCCCCGUAGACGAAAUGCUGACAACACCUAGGAGGAUCCUGAGUACGGCGGAACACGAGAAAUUCCGUCGGAAUCCGCGGGGACCAUCCCGCAAGGCUAAAUACUCCCUAGUGACCGAUAGUGAACCAGUACCGUGAGGGAAAGGUGAAAAGCACCCCGGAAGGGGAGUGAAAUAGAUCCUGAAACCGUGUGCCUACAACAAGUCAAAGCUCGUUAAUGAGUGAUGGCGUGCCUUUUGUAGAAUGAACCGGCGAGUUACGAUUGCAUGCGAGGUUAAGUCGAAGAGACGGAGCCGCAGCGAAAGCGAGUCUGAAUAGGGCGAAUGAGUAUGUAGUCGUAGACCCGAAACCAUGUGAUCUACCCAUGUCCAGGUUGAAGGUGCGGUAAAACGCACUGGAGGACCGAACCCACGUACGUUGAAAAGUGCGGGGAUGAGGUGUGGGUAGCGGAGAAAUUCCAAACGAACUUGGAGAUAGCUGGUUCUCUCCGAAAUAGCUUUAGGGCUAGCCUCGGAAUUGAGAAUGAUGGAGGUAGAGCACUGUUUGGACUAGGGGCCCAUCUCGGGUUACCGAAUUCAGAUAAACUCCGAAUGCCAUUCAUUUAUAUCCGGGAGUCAGACUGCGAGUGAUAAGAUCCGUAGUCGAAAGGGAAACAGCCCAGACCACCAGCUAAGGUCCCAAAAUAUAUGUUAAGUGGAAAAGGAUGUGGGGUUGCACAGACAACUAGGAUGUUGGCUUAGAAGCAGCCACCAUUUAAAGAGUGCGUAAUAGCUCACUAGUCGAGUGACCCUGCGCCGAAAAUGUACCGGGGCUAAACAUAUUACCGAAGCUGUGGACUACACCAUUAGGUGUAGUGGUAGGAGAGCGUUCUAAGGGCGUUGAAGGUCGAUCGUGAGGACGGCUGGAGCGCUUAGAAGUGAGAAUGCCGGUAUGAGUAGCGAAAGACAGGUGAGAAUCCUGUCCACCGUAUGACUAAGGUUUCCUGGGGAAGGCUCGUCCGCCCAGGGUUAGUCGGGACCUAAGCCGAGGCCGAUAGGCGUAGGCGAUGGACAACAGGUUGAUAUUCCUGUACCAGUUGUUUUUGUUUGAGCAAUGGAGGGACGCAGUAGGCUAAGGAAUGCAUGCGAUUGGAAGUGCAUGUCCAAGCAAUGAGUCUUGAGUAGAGUUAAAUGCUUUACUCUCUAAGGACAAGUUGUGACGGGGAGCGAAAUAAUAGUAGCGAAGUUCCUGAUGUCACACUGCCAAGAAAAGCUUCUAGUGAGAAAACAACUGCCCGUACCGUAAACCGACACAGGUAGUCGAGGAGAGUAUCCUAAGGUGAGCGAGCGAACUCUCGUUAAGGAACUCGGCAAAAUGACCCCGUAACUUCGGGAGAAGGGGUGCUGACUUCGGUCAGCCGCAGUGAAUAGGCCCAAGCGACUGUUUAUCAAAAACACAGGUCUCUGCAAAAUCGUAAGAUGAAGUAUAGGGGCUGACGCCUGCCCGGUGCUGGAAGGUUAAGAGGAUGGGUUAGCUUCGGCGAAGCUCAGAAUUGAAGCCCCAGUAAACGGCGGCCGUAACUAUAACGGUCCUAAGGUAGCGAAAUUCCUUGUCGGGUAAGUUCCGACCCGCACGAAAGGCGUAACGAUUUGGGCACUGUCUCAACGAGAGACUCGGUGAAAUUUUAGUACCUGUGAAGAUGCAGGUUACCCGCGACAGGACGGAAAGACCCCAUGGAGCUUUACUGUAGUUUGAUAUUGAGUGUUUGUACCACAUGUACAGGAUAGGUAGGAGCCGAUGAGACCGGAACGCUAGUUUCGGAGGAGGCGCUGGUGGGAUACUACCCUUGUGUUAUGAACCCUCUAACCCGCACCACUAAUCGUGGUGGGAGACAGUGUCAGAUGGGCAGUUUGACUGGGGCGGUCGCCUCCUAAAAGGUAACGGAGGCGCCCAAAGGUUCCCUCAG
rnacentral:rRNA from 1 species